GACGAACGCUGGCGGCGUGCUUAACACAUGCAAGUCGAACGGAAAGGCCCUGCUUGCAGGGUACUCGAGUGGCGAACGGGUGAGUAACACGUGGGUGAUCUGCCCUGCACUUCGGGAUAAGCUUGGGAAACUGGGUCUAAUACCGGAUAGGAACCAUCUUUAGUGUGGUGGUUGGAAAGUUUUUUCGGUGUAGGAUGAGCUCGCGGCCUAUCAGCUUGUUGGUGGGGUAAUGGCCUACCAAGGCGGCGACGGGUAGCCGGCCUGAGAGGGUGUACGGCCACAUUGGGACGGAGAUACGGCCCAGACUCCUACGGGAGGCAGCAGUGGGGAAUAUUGCACAAUGGGCGCAAGCCUGAUGCAGCGACGCCGCGUGGGGGAUGAAGGCCUUCGGGUUGUAAACUCCUUUCGCUAGGGACGAAGCUUUGUUGUGACGGUACCUAGAGAAGAAGCACCGGCUAACUACGUG
rnacentral:rRNA from 1 species